GACGAACGCUGGCGGCGCGCCUAACACAUGCAAGUCGAACGAGGUCUUUUAGAGAGCUUGCUCUUUGGCUGACCUAGUGGCGGACGGGUGAGUAACACGUGAGCAACCUGCCGUAAAGAGGGGGAUAACGUCUGGAAACGGACGCUAAUACCGCAUAACAAGCGAGGGAGACAUCUUCUUCGUUUCAAAGGAGCAAUCCGCUUUACGAUGGGCUCGCGCCCGAUUAGAUAGUUGGUGAGGUAACGGCUCACCAAGUCGACGAUCGGUAGCCGGACUGAGAGGAUGACCAGCCACACUGGAACUGAGACACGGUCCAGACUCCUACGGGAGGCAGCAGUGGGGAAUAUUGCACAAUGGGGGCAACCCUGAUGCAGCCAUGCCGCGUGUGUGAAGAAGGCCUUAGGGUUGUAAAGCACUUUCAGUCGGGAGGAAGGGGCUGAGUUUAAUAGACUUGGUCAUUGACGUUACUGACAGAAGAAGCACCGGCUAACUCCGUGCCAGCAGCCGCCGUAAAAC
rnacentral:rRNA from 1 species